rnacentral:sRNA from 1 species
ACUUAUCCGAUAUGGUACUCUAGAAUCCAAUAGCUAAUACUUAACCGAACUAACCAAAUCGAAACCAUAUGCACAAAAAGUCCCACAUCGGAAGUAUAUUAUAGCUUCAUAGGUUCUGCUUGGCUAUAAAUGAAGAGGCUCUCCUUCUAUAAAAACUUAUCUUUGCGCUUGGGGCAAUGACGCAGCUAAUGAGGUAUUAACCGAGGCGCGUCUAUUGCUGGUUGAAAACUAUUUCCAAACCCCCUCCUAGGCCUAAGCUUGUCUUGGGCCUCUGAGAAUUUCUGGAAGAGCUCCCUUUGGGGUAAAGCUCCACAAUUCUUAGUUCAAUAGAU